UACGUAGGGUGCAAGCGUUAUCCGGAAUUAUUGGGCGUAAAGAGAUGCGUAGGCGGUCUGUAAAGUUUCUGGUGAAAGCCCCGGGCUCAACUCGGGAACUGCCAGGAAUACUCACAGACUUUGAGGGAAUCGGGGGGUGCUGGAAUUCCUGGUGUAGCGGUGAAAUGCGCAGAUAUCAGGAGGAACACCGGUGGCGAAGGCGGGUCUCUGGGCAGUAACUGACGCUGAGGAGCGAAAGCGUGGGGAGCGAACAGG
rnacentral:rRNA from 1 species